rnacentral:rRNA from 1 species
GAUGAACGCUGGCGGCGUGCCUAAUACAUGCAAGUCGAGCGAACGGACGAGAAGCUUGCUUCUCUGAUGUUAGCGGCGGACGGGUGAGUAACACGUGGAUAACCUACCUAUAAGACUGGGAUAACUUCGGGAAACCGGAGCUAAUACCGGAUGAUAUUUUGAACCGCAUGGUUCAAAAGUGAAAGACGGUCUUGCUGUCACUUAUAGCUGGAUCCGCGCUGCAUUAGCUAGUUGGUAAGGUAACGGCUUACCAAGGCAACGAUGCAUAGCCGACCUGAGAGGGUGAUCGGCCACACUGGAACUGAGACACGGUCCAGACUCCUACGGGAGGCAGCAGUAGGGAAUCUUCCGCAAAGGGCGAAAGCCUGACGGAGCAACGCCGCGUGAGUGAUGAAGGUCUUCGGAUCGUAAAACUCUGUUAUUAGGGAAGAACAUAUGUGUAAGUAACUGUGCACAUCUUGACGGUACCUAAUCAGAAAGCCACGGCUAACUACGUG